rnacentral:rRNA from 1 species
CAGCAGCCGCGGUAAUACGUAGGUCCCGAGCGUCGUCCGGAUUUAUUGGGCGUAAAGCGAGCGCAGGCGGUUAGAUAAGUCUGAAGUUAAAGGCUGUGGCUUAACCAUAGUACGCUUUGGAAACUGUUUAACUUGAGUGCAAGAGGGGAGAGUGGAAUUCCAUGUGUAGCGGUGAAAUGCGUAGAUAUAUGGAGGAACACCGGUGGCGAAAGCGGCUCUCUGGCUUGUAACUGACGCUGAGGCUCGAAAGCGUGGGGAGCAAACAGGAUUAGAUACCCCCGUAGUCCCUGUCUCUUAUACA